AGUGCGUUCAAACACUAAAAGCCUAAAAUUCAACUGCAAAAAGUUUCAAAUAAAACACUGUAAGAACCACUGAAUAUGAAAAAGAAUAUCUAUCUAUAAACUCUAUAAAAAAAGAGUUUUUGCAGCCUUCAUGGUAAAUCUGUCAAUCAAUAUAUAAUUUCAAAGACUAUGAAGCUUGACCAUGGAUAUUUUCGUAAAAAUGUCUUUUAUUUCACUUGGAUUGAAUCUCAGCCAUUGAUUCACAAUAAAUUAUUAGUUACGGAUGAAAUCUAUACCGUUGAAAUCCUCCAGCAAUCUUGAUCUCCUUGGCUGUUUGCGUUUCUCAAUUUUCAUCCGUUUUCAUUCUAGGAGAAAUGUUUCUCUCUCUUGAACGUUUGAGUUUCUCCCUGUGCUCCGUUUCAGGCUCUUUUCCUUCCCCUUCCCAUUCGAGGAUAUUCCAAAACGCUAUAAGUCUACAACGUCAAAGAGAGAAAUCGAGAGAGAGAGAGGGGAUGAGAUUGGAGGCGACGUGGAAGACUCGGAGGAGGUUCGUAGGUUGUGGUGUUGCUGCGGCGCAUUACCCUGCCUCGCGUUCAGUUCGGUUGCACGCACCAUGUUUGUCGUCGCCCAUUAAGGAAUAAAUCGGUAUCGAUGUGAAGUGUUAACAUCACAUAAAAUUGAUCCUGAGUGUGUGUGCAGCAAUAGUUUUAGUCUGCAAGAACAGAGAAAGGGUUUCAGAUCGACGAGAGGGUUUAACAUGGACCUGCAUCGCCAUUGACACUUUGUAUACCCUGAUGUUGUGAUUUUGUUCAUUCGGCGAAUAACUACUAUGGAAUUGCUCAAACAGUAUAACCAGUUCAGACAAGAGAAAAAAAAAAGGAGAGCAAGAAGAACAAGUAAGGUUUGCAGGUUCAAGAUAUCGGUGAGGGGAAGGAGUUAUGGCGCACUUGGUAGAAAAGCUUUCGCGAAAGGAGGAGGUUUCAGUGUUGUUACCACUUGCUAUUUAACCUCUUCCAGCAUUGAUUGCCAUUUUGAACUAUACUUAUCUUGAAGCAUAGAGGUGAGAAAAUAUAUAUGGGGCCUUUAGGAUGGCAGUGUUCUCAUCUGAUCAAUUACUUGGAGGUGAUGGAAUUUCUCAAGUCCCUUGAGGUAUGACAGUCACUUUAGAAGGGGUGGAAAAUCAGAAGACCAGAUUCCAAUGGCUUGCCAGGGUGCUGUAGCAAUUUUGAUUAUGUUUGAUCUAACAAGUUGAUGCACAUUAAACAGGUUGAGCUAUAACUAUUUGAUGACUAUCAGAACAUAUUCUAUUGAAUAAGAAUUUGGAAGAAAUAGCUACAGGGAUACCAGAGAAUUUAUAAAAGCAUUUCAUGAUUAGCUUUGUCUUGAGUAAGUGAUAGCUUACGUUUCUUUCUAGACCAAAUGAUGAUUAUUAAGGGAAUGUGAAUGACUUCAUUUUUGUCUAUGUGGUUGUUGAGAUAAUGUUCCACACUAUUUAGCACCAAUUACUUCGCGUAGGCUGUUAGAAAUGUUGAUAGAGAAUGAUACCUGAACUACUUCUCACACCAGGUUGAAAGUAGAAGAAAGAUUUUGUUGUUUUCUUAGCCAAAACCUGUUCAGUAAUUUAUUCACCAAAAGAACUUUGCUAUGUAAUACUCUGCAUCAUCUUGCAGUACAGCCAUUGAAACCAUGUUUUUAAACCAAAACUUAUUGCAUAGUUUUUCAAUAUACAGCCAGAGAGUACAAUUGGUUGUUCACUUCAGAAGUUCUUUUUCCUCUUUAAAAUCUUAUUUAAUAUGUGAACCCAUCUUCCAUGUUUCUGAGGCUUCUUUGGAACAUAAUAUAGUUGGAGACAAUUUAUACUUUAGAAACAUAUUUUAUUCAUGUUAAGUUCAGUGGAUCCAGACUCAAACUUAAUCCACAAAGUGAUUCUUCUUUAGGAGUUCUUAUUCCCAUUUUAACUCUUACCAAAACCAUAACCUAUACUCAUUUGGAAAUCUUAAUCUUAAUAUUCUACAAUUGAGAGAUAUUUACCGCCACUACUGCACCCUGAAUGAUGUCCAUACAUUUCCCUU